rnacentral:tRNA from 1 species
UUAGUUAAAGCCAAAAAGAGGUUAAUUACUGUUAAUAAUUAUAUUGAAGUUAAACUUCUAACUAUU